rnacentral:rRNA from 1 species
UACGUAGGUCCCGAGCGUUGUCCGGAUUUAUUGGGCGUAAAGCGAGCGCAGGUGGUUUAAUAAGUCUGAUGUAAAAGGCAGUGGCUCAACCAUUGUAUGCAUUGGAAACUGGUAGACUUGAGUGCAGGAGAGGAGAGUGGAAUUCCAUGUGUAGCGGUGAAAUGCGUAGAUAUAUGGAGGAACACCGGUGGCGAAAGCGGCUCUCUGGACGGUAACUGACGCUGAGGCGCGAAAGCGUGGGGAGCAAACAGG